GAAUUCCUUCGGGGCAGGGUGAAAUUCCCUACCGGCGGUGAUGAACCAGAUGGUUCUUAGUCCGUGACCCGUCAUUUUAAUUAAUGACGGUGGAUUUGGUGAAAUUCCAAAGCCGACAGUGAAAGUCUGGAUGGGAGAAGGAAGAG
rnacentral:ncRNA from 2 species